GCUUAUGGCCAUACCACCCUGUCUGCGCCUGAUUUCGUCUGAUCUUGAAAGCUAAGCAGGGUCGGGCCUGGUUAGUACUUGGAUGGGAGAACGCCUGGCAAUACCAGGUGCUGUAAGCU
ensembl:rRNA 5S_rRNA 5S ribosomal RNA